ensembl:processed_transcript Gm17191 predicted gene 17191
GGAACUUGAAGCAGUGUUACCAAGUUUUCUUACAUGGGGCAUCACAUUGGAUUUCAUCUGUAUUGCACAAAAGGUUACAAUUUCCCACCCAAGUAUGCAAUCUCAUUAGUACUUUGCCUAUGAUGCCUUUCAUAGNNNGUGUGUGUGUGUGUGUGUGUGUGUUUCUGAGUGUCUCACAGUUUCUCCGGUGCUAGGGUCCCUGCCUGCAUUUUUGCGGAAUCAAUUUACCAUAUCAACUGGAAUGCUAAAGCGGGCGGAGACCUUUUACAGAAGUUUUCAGACCUGGCCACACUUGACCACCAUUACUUGGGCGUUUUCGUUUUUACUUUUUAGCAAAAUAUUGAAAUGAAAAUGUUGUUUUCUAGUCUCACCUUUAGAAAUUUGGAUUCAGUGUGGAUCAAACAAUUCUUGAAAC